AGGACGAACGCUGGCGGCGUGCUUAACACAUGCAAGUCGAGCGGUAAGGCCUUUCGGGGUACACGAGCGGCAAACGGGUGAGUAACACGUGGGUGAUCUGCCCUGCACUUCGGGAUAAGCCUGGGAAACUGGGUCUAAUACCGGAUAUGACCUCCUAUCGCAUGGUGGGUGGUGGAAAGAUUUUAUCGGUGCAGGAUCGGGCCCGCGGCCUAUCAGCUUGGUUGGGUGGGUAAUGGCCUACCAAGGCGACGACGGGUAGCCGACCUGAGAGGGUGACCGGCCACACGUGGGACUGAGACACGGCCCAGACUCCGUACGGGAGGCAGCAGUGGGGAAUAUUGCACAAGUGGGACGAAAGCCUGAUGCAGCGACGCCGCGUGAGGAUGACGGCUUCGGGUUAGUAAACCUUCUUUCAGCGAGGACGAAGCGACAGU
rnacentral:rRNA from 1 species